rnacentral:rRNA from 1 species
UGGGGAAUAUUGGACAAUGGGCGCAAGCCUGAUCCAGCCAUGCCGCGUGAGUGAUGAAGGCCUUAGGGUUGUAAAGCUCUUUUGUCCGGGACGAUAAUGACGGUACCGGAAGAAUAAGCCCCGGCUAACUUCGUGCCAGCAGCCGCGGUAAUACGAAGGGGGCUAGCGUUGCUCGGAAUCACUGGGCGUAAAGGGCGCGUAGGCGGAUGUUUAAGUCGGGGGUGAAAUCCCAGGGCUCAACCCUGGAAUUGCCUUCGAUACUGGGCAUCUCGAGACCGGAAGAGGUAAGUGGAACUGCGAGUGUAGAGGUGAAAUUCGUAGAUAUUCGCAAGAACACCAGUGGCGAAGGCGGCUUACUGGUCCGGAUCUGACGCUGAGGCGCGAAAGCGUGGGGAGCAAACAGGAUUAGAUACCCUGGUAGUCCACGCCGUAAACGAUGGAUGCUAGCCGUUGGCGAGCUUGCUCGUCAGUGGCGCAGUUAACACUUUAAGCAUCCCGCCUGGGGAGUACGGUC